rnacentral:lncRNA from 1 species
AAGGAAGGGAAAGAGGGAGGGAGAGAGGAAGGAAGGAAGGGAAGAAGGGAAGGAAGGAAGGAAGGAAGAGGGGAAGGAGGGGGGAGGAGGAAGGAAUGAAGAGAGAAAGGAAGGCAGGGAAGGAGGGGAGAGAGGGAGGAAGGGGGAAAGGAAAGAAGGAAGGAAGAAGGAAAGAAGAAAGGAAGGAAAAAAGGAAGGGAAAGAGGAAGGGAAAGAGGAAGGAAGGAAGGAAGGAAGGGCAAUUGGUACUAAAUUCUUGUAGUGCCCAGGCACUCUUCCCCUAGUGGGCAGGGCAGAGAGACUGUGAAAGGUGGAGAUGAAGGAGAGCCAUCAUUUCACUCUUGAGAAAGGACGGAGCAGGCUGUGUGGAAGAGAUGAGAUCUGGGAUAAAUUGGAAAAGGUAUCAAAAAAUUAGGAGGGAAGAAAUAUUUUCAGCAAGUCUGCUACCACACUCCUCAAAUUCAACUAAGAGUGGUGAUUUAAUGUCAGAAAAGCUCCGCAUCCAGCCCUAUUAGCAGGGGCAGAAACAGACGCCAGGAGACACUGCCCACCUCCUGGGAAUCGGAAUCAGC